GUCAGGAUGGCCGAGCGGUCCAAGGCGCUGCGUUCAGGUCGCAGUCCACGUCUGUGGGCGUGGGUUCGAAUCCCACUCCUGACA
rnacentral:tRNA from 1 species